CCAACAUUGUUAUUCACUCCUCUCUCUCUCUCUCUCUCUCUCUCUCUCUCUCUCUCAGAGAAAUUUGAGAAGGUGUGCAAAGAGCACGAUGGACAAGAUCCCUCGCUCUGUCUCUCUCGCGUGCGUAGGUGAGAAGGUGUGCGAAGAGCACGAUGGAGAAGCAGGGCACGUGCAUUACCGACUCAUGCCGUACGUACCUGGAGAGAAACCAAGAAAUUGGCUGAACCAUGAAGGGUUUCUUGUAUCAUCGAUGGCUCCAAGUCUGGUGAACCAUGAGUGGGUUCUUCAUGUGCCCUUCUUCCCCAUCAUGACCAGCCCACCUCUAAAAUCAUCCAUGAAAACUUCUCUUAGCAUUACCUCCGGAAUGCUUGGAAAUAUCAAUAGGAGUGCAAGGGCGUUAUGGUAACCCAAAUGAAAAGAGGGGCUAAUAAACCUCAGCCCAAAGAAAAGAAACUAAGGCAAUCCAAAGCUCAACCUGAGAAGAUAGAAGGGCUAAGGUUCCAGCAUUGUUGCAUCCUCCUAUUAGUAGGAGUAUCCGGGACCUGUUGGAAGGUCAUAGCUUUGUCCAUGAUCGACCUUGUCCAAGCAUUUCUUCAAAGCCGGCAAAAAGAGUUCGUGAUCACAAAAGAGGAUAUUAUUCUAUGAGUUUUAGUUUUUUAUUUAUUAUUUUAGUAAGAAUCCAUGGUUUUGGGUGGAUUGGACCAUGGCAAAUAAAGAGUGUAAAGAUCUUGAAGCGGCCAGAACAUUCAUGUUCAAGCUUCAAGAAGUUGCUGAUACAUGUGUUUUUUUUGUUAUGGGCUUGUUUUGCCGACAAAUGGUUUCUUUUCGUGAUAUCAGAGCACGAGUUCCUUCAUAAUGCUUCUGUCUCCAGCUACUUUGUUCACGUGGCUAUACGACGUUAUACAUUUCCCUCGUAAAUCCCAUCUUAGGUACUGGAAAAAAUGUUGACAAAUAGGUAUACUUGAAAUACAUAAUGCAUUGCUUUCCUUUUGUUUGA